GCAAAUUUCCCAAGCCCACGGCUGGGGAGCCCAUUUAAAGCCACAGGCAGGCUUCCGGCAAAGAAACCGGCUCAAAAUGGAUGGCUGCUUAUAAACAGGACACCAGGACAUCUGCUUAGGGGCCUCGGCUCUAACAGCUCCCCUGGUUGCUGUUAGUUGAGGCCCAAAGCAUCCUAACCUACACCCGGGAGAGCCAAAGAUGACGCCAGCAUCCUUGGGCCUCCGUGACGGACCGGAUGGCUGAGGACAAACAGACCAGUGAGCAGGAGAGGGUCUCGGAAGCGAAAGUGCAGCCCACUGGCUUGGGACACUCUUCACAUCUGGAAAGGUGGGCAGCCAUCCAAGGAUGGUGUUGGCCUGUGGACAACGUCCCAGAGAUCCCGGAACAGAAUGUGGGAAAGAUCCGGAUUCCUUAACCAUGUUCCUGAGCCUGUUACCCAAACCGCGGCUACCUGAACUCCCAUGUAAAUAAUAAUAAUUGUUGAAGUCA